UCAUUAGUAUUAGAGACACAGCUAACUGUUUCAAAAUAUGGUUCGUUAAGUCUUUCAGCGUGUCAUGCCCGCUCAGUUCACUUCACCAGUAGCAGCGGCGGAGAGAGGUCUCGUGGCGUGACGCAGGACUUGAUGAAGGAGUGAAAUGGCUUCCCCUUGGCCAAGUCAGCACCGAGGCAGAAUUGAUUGAUAUACUGGUGUGAAUUCAGCUGCCUCCUCGCUCCUCCCGUUGCCAGGACACCAUGUGAUCGAGGCAGUGUUGGGGAACGUGAGAUUAUUCAUCAGGUGUGACGUGUGCUGCUUCACUCCAUCCCAUGAACAGUUGCCCACAGGGAUUUCUACCACAUCAGGCCUGACAUACUUCAUUGUGAUCAGGGAGUCGAGUUUCAUCAGGAAGAGAGGCUGAGUGUCACUAACUGUAAGCCUGACGAGGUGUUUAAUCAGCAAGAGGGGCCGAGUCUUGCUACCUGUGUAAGCCUGACAAGAGGAGUCAAGGAAUUUUUCAUUGCAAUGAAGGAAGAGUCAAGUUGUAAGAAGAUUGUAAGGCAAGAAUUUUAAGCAGGAAUAAUUGUCAAGCAGUUAACAGCAGGAAGAAUGCAGCGAGAAAAGGGUACAAGAGUUUUCAAGUUGUAAGAUUGUAAGGCAAGAAUUUUAAGCAGGAAAAUGUAAGGUAAGAAUUUUAAGCAGGAAUAAUUGUCAAGCAGUUAACAGCAGGAAGAACGCAGCGAGAAAAGGGUACAAGAGUUUUCAAGUUGUAAGAAGAUUGUAAGGCAAGAAUUUUAAGCAGGAAAAAUAGUCAAGCAGUUUAGCAGCAGGAAGACUCCCCUUCAAGCUGUGGUGGGAGUGACAAGCAUCCUUCAGGACUUGCAAAGGCUGGAGUCCUCAACACUAGUCUCACUCAAGUUGACACAAGAGCUCUCUGACACAAGGAAAACAAAUGACAUGUUUAUCAUCCUAUUGUGUAUUUAUUAAACUUUUAUGUGAUUAAACAAUAGUGAUUAAACAAUAUAUUGUACAUACUUAAGGAAUUAUUAGUAUAAGUUGCAAAUAAACAAGCU